rnacentral:misc_RNA from 1 species
AAGUCGUAACAAGGUUUCCGUAGGUGAACCUGCGGAAGGAUCAUUACAAGCAAGUUUUUAGGGUAGCAUGGCGCAAGCCAUGUUGUUCCUAUAUUCACGCGUGUUGUGUUUGACAGAGUUAUUAUGUGUAUCCAAUUGGAUUGGAUUGAAUUGAAAGAAAACUUUUAACAAUGGAUCUCUUGGUUCUC